rnacentral:tRNA from 1 species
GAUCACGUGGCUCAAAUGGACAGAGCAACUGCCUUCUAAGCAGUAGGUUACAGGUUCGAAUCCUGUCGUGAUCA